rnacentral:rRNA from 1 species
UACGUAGGGUGCGAGCGUUGUCCGGAAUUAUUGGGCGUAAAGGGCUCGUAGGCGGUUUGUCGCGUCGGGAGUGAAAACCUUGGGCUUAACUCAGGGCUUGCUUUCGAUACGGGCAGACUAGAGGUAUGCAGGGGAGAACGGAAUUCCUGGUGUAGCGGUGAAAUGCGCAGAUAUCAGGAGGAACACCGGUGGCGAAGGCGGUUCUCUGGGCAUGAUCUGACGCUGAGGAGCGAAAGCUAGGGGAGCAAACAGG